CUAGUAGUUUGAGAACUUGUAAUAGUGGCAGAUAUAAAUGUUUUCAACUAAUUCAGAAAUCCAGACUCAGUGCUAAUGAUUGACCGAAUUCUAUAACCAAGUUAACAAAUUUUAACUAUCACAUGUUCACAACUACAAAGCUGAAUGACAAACAGAAAUACUACCCCAUGUUUACAACUGAGAAACAAAAUGUAUUUGCAGCAACAGGUAUGGAUAUGAAGACUCAAACGUAAAAUAUGAUUCACGGAAUUACAUGGCACCAAUUCAAAGUGCU
rnacentral:lncRNA from 1 species